rnacentral:RNase_P_RNA from 1 species
UCGGGAAAGCAAGCAAUCGCUGUCUUGUUUAACAAGGCAGAGGAAAGUCUGGACUUCACAGGAGAAGAUACCAGCGAAAGGCUGGGGGCCGCAAGGCUACGGAAAGUGUAACAGAAAACAUACCGCUGACUGACCUGCAAAGGUUGGAAAGACAGGCUGAAAAUGCGGGCUUUAGGAGUCCGCCGCACUUGUCGAGAGGCAAGGCGUUAUAAACCCUAUCUGAAGCAAGAGUGUCAAGUUUGUGCUCCGCAGUUGCUUGACGCAAGAUCGCUCGAGAGCUUUGGCGACAAGGCUCCUAGAGGAAUGAUUGCUCACGACAGAAUCCGGCUUACCGCUUUCCCGAAUUU